rnacentral:lncRNA from 1 species
GAUAAAAAGAAUUUCUGUCCAAUUUGUUUCGUAGAAGUGAGUCAUUUUGCAAGACAUUUGGAAAGAAAACAUGAUGACGAAAGUCGAGUAAAAAAGAUUUUAUCUUUUCCAAAAGGAUCUAAUGAAAGGAAAACCUUAUGGGAUUAUUUACGCAUGGAAGGAAAUUUUCAUUUGUUUAGAGAAGAAAAAAAAGUGGUGGCUGUUCGAAGGCCCACGGAAGCCCAAGCAUUAGACUUUGACGAUUUUGUUGUUUGCGAAAACUGUUCUGGGGUGUACAAAAAUUUUUUUUCUAUAAGCAUGCUAAAAAUGCCAAGAAAAACACUGGUACAAAGUGUGGGCGACUAAAUGCCUUAACUCAAUCCCAAACAUUUUCAGCGGAUUCUCGCUGCCAAAACAGUUUUUUAUCACAGUCAAGAUUAAAGAAAGAGGUAUUUUGCAUUAUGAAAGCAGAUAAAAUAAGCGCCACCUCAAAAAAUGAUAUUUUUAAUAUGUUUAUUCGGGGAAACCCAUCUUAAAAAACAUAAAAGAAAGCAAAUUGUAACAGUAGCAACAAAAUGAGAGAAUUAGCAAGACUUUUGAUUGCUCUUAGAGAGUUCACACCUGUUCAGAACCUAAUUGAUGCUAUGAAACCAGAAUUAUUUGACGAUUUAGUUACGGCCACAAAAGUAAUUUCGGGAUUUAGCAAUGCCGAUAAAAGCUUUAAAUCUUCUUCAUUAGCACUUCAUAUGGGUACCACUUUAAAACAAGUAUGCGAUAUAACUAAUCGAAUGAUUUUAAAAAAAUUUCCAUUCUUUACCUUUAAAAACCCUAAUGAGGAAAAAAAGCAUUCCAGAUUUUAAAACAUUAGAGACCAGUUGGGCCAAUGAAAUUUCUUCAUUAGGCCUUAAAACAAUAAAAGAACGGCAAUGGGAAAACCCCAAAUACUGCCGGUGACAAGUGAAGUAAUUAAGUUUAAUAGUUUUGUCAAAAAUCAGGUUGAAGACAGUGCCAAAAAAUUAAACAAACUUUUAGAAAAGAAGGGGAAACAAAAUGACAAAAAUAAUUUACUUCCUUUAUAUAAAACCUUAGCAAAAGGAGUAAUGGCCCUUCUUUUAAUACUAAAUAGAAAACGCAUCGGUGAGAUUCAAUACCUUGAAAUUUCUACUUACAAAAGAUCAUUUGCGGACCCCAGUGUUCAACAAGAAAUUGCUGAAAGUUUAACUGUUUCAGAAAAACUAUUGUGUAGAAACUUUUAGAAGAAUUAUUUUAUUUUAAUUUCUCCUUUUUUAAACGAGAAAAUUGAGCUGAUGAUUAAAAUAAGAGAAAAAAUAAAAUUAAUUCCAAAAGAUAAUAAAUACAUUUUUGCAAAUCCCAAUUCGUCGAAAGGUUGGUUUCAUGGAACAAGUGUAAUUAAACAAUUUGCAAAAAGCUGUGGGGCAAAGGAUCCCAACUCUCUAACUUCUACCGAAUUUCGAAAACAGACUGCUACAAUUUUACAGAUUAUGGAUAUUCAUAAUACUGACAUGGAACAAUUAGCCACUUUUAUGGGUCAUACAAAAAAAACCAUGAAGAAUGGUAUAGACUUCCUCAAGAUCUAUACCAGACUGCAAAAAUAGCCAAACCAAUGAUCGCUUUAAAUAAAGGUGAUGUUAAUAUUUACAAAGGAAAGAGCUUAGACGAUAUCAAUAUAGAAGAAAAUGACUACUUGGAAAUUGAAAACAUAGAAACAGAAGUAAAUGAAAUAAAUGAAAAGAGCCUACUCAUUCUUGGAGUCCUAAAAGUAAUUGUAGCGAUGUAACUGACGAAAAAAUUGAACAAGCUAAUAAAAAUGAAAAAGUUUCGUCGAAGGGUAAAAGAAAGUUAUCUACCGAUGAAAUGACGCAUCCAAUGCAAAAUAAUAAAGUUACAAAAAGAAAGCCAACUACUGAAAAAACCGAAAGCAGUUCAAAUGCGAUUGCAGGCACCGAUGGACCGAAAAGGACAAACAAACGAUGCUUAAAUACUUUACAAGAUUCAUAAAAGAAAAAGAGUUCCGAAAAAAGCAGACGUACAGGAAUUUAAAAAAAAAAUAAAGCUGGAGAAAACUUUAAAUCAAUUGAUGGGGUAAAAAUUAAAACGUUUGUUUACAAUUCUUACAGAAUGUAGUUUUUGUGAAGUUUUUAUUAAAUAACGUGUUUCUAAA